rfam:Ruaniaceae bacterium KH17 genome assembly, contig: Ga0066873_111
ACCUGACACCUUUACAACGGAUCGUCCGGCACGUACCUGCCGGUGAAGGGAAGUUUU